rnacentral:lncRNA from 1 species
AUUUUUUUUGCACAUUGUCUCUCACUUACACUUAGCUAGUCUUUGAGAAAAACAGUCUUCUUCUUCUCAAAGACAACCAGUCUUCUUCUCUUAAAGAGUCGAACCCAUCUUCUUCUCGAAACCCAUCUUCUCAAAACACCAUCUUCUGAAAACACUCGAUUAAGGUUCGAUCUACUCAAUUAGGGUUUUCAAUUUGGGGAUUUGAAGGAGGAGGAAAAGGAAGAGGAGGGGGGGUGGGUGUUUCUCGGCUACAUUAAUCGAUAAAUCUACUGAGUCAAAUUCUGAUACUCUUAUGCGAAUCGAUGAAUCUUCCCCUUUCAACAAAACAUCCGGUGGAGAUCUGCACACUAUAUAUGUCUAAGGUCUCGAGCCAAGCUGACAUUCAAGCGCCGUCUCAUGCCCAUCUAACUAAUUUCUUAAGGUUCAUAACUUGAGAUCUCUCCUCUCUGGUUAUUAUUUAGAUAUUGGUUAUCAUGUCCCUGUGGUUGUUUACAAUGUGA